rnacentral:rRNA from 1 species
AUUGACUAUGUUAAAUAAAGUUCUAGAUAGAUAAAUGAUAAUGACAAAUUUCUAUCUAUAUGUCUUGACCAAGUCUUGUGCCAGCAGUCGCGGCAAUACAAGGAAGACUAGUGUUAUUCAUCUUUAUUAGGUUUAAAGGGUACCUAGACAGUAUUUCUAGCCUCAAAAAGGUACAGAAUUACUAGAGUUUUAUAGGAGAGGUAAAUAUUAGGACUAUUGGUGUAGAGAUGAAAUUCUUUGAUACUAAUGGAACGGAUAACGGCGAAGGCAACCCUCUAUAUGCAAACUGACGUUGAGGGACGAAGGCUUGGGGAGCAAAUAGGAUUAGAUACCCUAGUAGUCCAGGCAGAAAAUGAUGAGUGUUAUAUAUUAAGAAAUAAAAAUUGGUGUAUAAAUGAAAGUGUAAGCACUCCACCUCAAGAGUAAUGUGGCAACACAGGAACUGAAAUCAUUAGACCGUUUCUGAAACCAGUAGUGAAGUAUGUUAUUUAAUUCGAUAACCCUCGAAAAACCUUACCACAAUUUGAAUAGUAUUUAUCGUAAAUCCCUAAAGGGUAUUAAAUAUUACAAGCGUUGCACGGCUGUCUUCAGUUAAUGUCGUGAGAUUUUGGUUAGAUUC